CAACAAUGUGGUCUUGGUGAGUUUACAAUAAUGUUAUAAUAAUCGGAGCGCAAUGCUGAAGUAGGCCUAGAUCAUACUGUACGUGUUGCUGUAAGACUGAACUGUGAAUUCCUUGACUGUGACUUUAGUGACAACAUUUGACGCACCAAAAAGUAGCACCACAACGCCAUGAAUCCCAUUCUUCCAUCCUCUUCCCUUGACAGUUACUCUUGAUGACCCCGGCUCCACCGGAACCGGGAUUUUUUUUUUUAGGAAGAGCUCGAUCGAACCGCAAGGCGGAGGAGGAUUUGUGACAGCGCGCAAGGACACGCCUUCUCAUUAAACCGGCAGUUUGUGCGGCUCCACCUUGCCGUCACUGCCGUGUCGUCAGUAGCGAAACGAACCGCACCGCUGCCUCUUCUACAGUAGUUGUUAUACUCCCCUCUACUUAAUUAACCUUGUACGUAUUAUUUUGUCCCCGACGGUUGUGGUGUUCUGCGUCAAAAAUAGCAACAGAGAUGUAAAAGCAAGUUACACUACCGCAUCUUCCUCGUCUUUUGAUAUGCAGCUACUGACAUAACCAGGAGCGCUGGUGACAGUGCAGGGGAAGAUGGACAUCCAGAGUGGCAUACAGAUGGCAAUGGAGACUCUCCCCUCCUUCCCCCAACAGUCGGGUACCCAUCAGCAGAGCGAGCCAGAGGACGGCCAGACAGAGGGGAGUGCCAGGCUUACCGCUGACAAUCACAGCAAGGACACCCAGCCAGCUGCUGGCCACCAAGAUGACAAAGGAAGGCUUCUUCUAAUGCUACAUUUUAAAAAAGGGUUCCAAAAGAGAGAUUUGGCUAUCCCCAUAGGAUAACCCUUUUUUGGUUUUAGGUAGAAUCCUUUUUGGUUGCAGGUGGAACCCUUUUGGAUUCCUGAAAUUUAUUUUUCUAAGAGUAUAGAAGGAGACAGACCCGGGCGCUUGGCUGUUUAGUGCCGCUCACCUGUGUGUUUGUGUUCGUCGGUGUGUGUACUGUGCCUUCAGAAAGUAUUCACACCCUUUGACUUUUUCCACAUUUUGUUGUGUUACAUCGGAAUAAUAAAAACAUAUUAGAUUGAGAAUUUGUGUCGCUGGCCUUCACACCCCAUAAUGUCAAAGUGGAAUUAUGUUUUUAGAAAUGUUUACAAAUGAAUGAAAAAUGAAAAAAGAGUGAGUCAAUAAGUUUUCAACCCCUUUGUUAUGGCUAAAUAAGCCUAAAUAAGUUCAGGAGUAAAACAUUUGAUUGAUAAGUUGCAUGGACUCACUCUUUGUGCAAUUAUAGAGUUUAACAUAAUUUUUUUAAUGACUACCUCAUCUCUGUAACCCACAAAUGCAAUUAUAUGUAAGGUCCCUCAGUUGAGCAGUUAAUUUCAGACACAGAUUCUUAAAGACCAGGGAGGUUUAAAAAUGCCUCGCAA
rnacentral:lncRNA from 1 species